CAUCCCCUGCGAUGCGCGUGAUUAACUGAAGUCUUUUGAUCCAACACCUUGGAAUCGGGGCCCUCUCCUUGUUUGCCGUGUGCAUGUCUGCCGACAUCCGUAACAACGGGGGGCAGGAAGCCUGAAGCAGCAACAUAGGCACCCACUUUUAGGAACGGUUCAGAACGGUGGUUAGCACGGCAUAAGCGGGGGUUUU
rnacentral:other from 1 species